CGUCAUGAUUUGGGAAUUGCAUUAAUUUAUCAUUGAAUCUUUUCCAAACUUCCUACAAGGAUUCACCACUAAGUUGGCAAAAAUUUGUAAUCUCAUCCCUUAGUUG
rnacentral:snoRNA from 1 species